rnacentral:rRNA from 1 species
GGGACACGUGGUAUCCUGUCUGAAUAUGGGGGGACCAUCCUCCAAGGCUAAAUACUCCUGACUGACCGAUAGUGAACCAGUACCGUGAGGGAAAGGCGAAAAGAACCCCGGCGAGGGGAGUGAAAAAGAACCUGAAACCGUGUACGUACAAGCAGUGGGAGCCUCUUAAUGGGGUGACUGCGUACCUUUUGUAUAAUGGGUCAGCGACUUAUAUUCUGUAGCAAGGUUAACCGAAUAGGGGAGCCGAAGGGAAACCGAGUCUUAACUGGGCGUUAAGUUGCAGGGUAUAGACCCGAAACCCGGUGAUCUAGCCAUGGGCAGGUUGAAGGUUGGGUAACACUAACUGGAGGACCGAACCGACUAAUGUUGAAAAAUUAGCGGAUGACUUGUGGCUGGGGGUGAAAGGCCAAUCAAACCGGGAGAUAGCUGGUUCUCCCCGAAAGCUAUUUAGGUAGCGCCUCGUGAAUUCAUCUCCGGGGGUAGAGCACUGUUUCGGCAAGGGGGUCAUCCCGACUUACCAACCCGAUGCAAACUGCGAAUACCGGAGAAUGUUAUCACGGGAGACACACGGCGGGUGCUAACGUCCGUCGUGAAGAGGGAAACAACCCAGACCGCCAGCUAAGGUCCCAAAGUCAUGGUUAAGUGGGAAACGAUGUGGGAAGGCCCAGACAGCCAGGAUGUUGGCUUAGAAGCAGCCAUCAUUUAAAGAAAGCGUAAUAGCUCACUGGUCGAGUCGGCCUGCGCGGAAGAUGUAACGGGGCUAAACCAUGCACCGAAGCUGCGGCAGCGACACUAUGUGUUGUUGGGUAGGGGAGCGUUCUGUAAGCCUGUGAAGGUGGCCUGUGAGGGUUGCUGGAGGUAUCAGAAGUGCGAAUGCUGACAUAAGUAACGAUAAAGCGGGUGAAAAGCCCGCUCGCCGGAAGACCAAGGGUUCCUGUCCAACGUUAAUCGGGGCAGGGUGAGUCGACCCCUAAGGCGAGGCCGAAAGGCGUAGUCGAUGGGAAACAGGUUAAUAUUCCUGUACUUGGUGUUACUGCGAAGGGGGGACGGAGAAGGCUAUGUUGGCCGGGCGACGGUUGUCCCGGUUUAAGCGUGUAGGCUGGUUUUCCAGGCAAAUCCGGAAAACCAAGGCUGAGGCGUGAUGACGAGGCACUACGGUGCUGAAGCGACAAAUGCCCUGCUUCCAGGAAAAGCCUCUAAGCAUCAGGUAACAUCAAAUCGUACCCCAAACCGACACAGGUGGUCAGGUAGAGAAUACCAAGGCGCUUGAGAGAACUCGGGUGAAGGAACUAGGCAAAAUGGUGCCGUAACUUCGGGAGAAGGCACGCUGAUAUGUAGGUGAAGCGACUUGCUCGUGGAGCUGAAAUCAGUCGAAGAUACCAGCUGGCUGCAACUGUUUAUUAAAAACACAGCACUGUGCAAACACGAAAGUGGACGUAUACGGUGUGACGCCUGCCCGGUGCCGGAAGGUUAAUUGAUGGGGUUAGCGGUAACGCGAAGCUCUUGAUCGAAGCCCCGGUAAACGGCGGCCGUAACUAUAACGGUCCUAAGGUAGCGAAAUUCCUUGUCGGGUAAGUUCCGACCUGCACGAAUGGCGUAAUGAUGGCCAGGCUGUCUCCACCCGAGACUCAGUGAAAUUGAACUCGCUGUGAAGAUGCAGUGUACCCGCGGCAAGACGGAAAGACCCCGUGAACCUUUACUAUAGCUUGACACUGAACAUUGAGCCUUGAUGUGUAGGAUAGGUGGGAGGCUUUGAAGUGUGGACGCCAGUCUGCAUGGAGCCGACCUUGAAAUACCACCCUUUAAUGUUUGAUGUUCUAACGUUGGCCCCUAAUCGGGGUUGCGGACAGUGUCUGGUGGGUAGUUUGACUGGGGCGGUCUCCUCCUAAAGAGUAACGGAGGAGCACGAAGGUUGGCUAAUCCUGGUCGGACAUCAGGAGGUUAGUGCAAUGGCAUAAGCCAGCUUGACUGCGAGCGUGACGGCGCGAGCAGGUGCGAAAGCAGGUCAUAGUGAUCCGGUGGUUCUGAAUGGAAGGGCCAUCGCUCAACGGAUAAAAGGUACUCCGGGGAUAACAGGCUGAUACCGCCCAAGAGUUCAUAUCGACGGCGGUGUUUGGCACCUCGAUGUCGGCUCAUCACAUCCUGGGGCUGAAGUAGGUCCCAAGGGUAUGGCUGUUCGCCAUUUAAAGUGGUACGCGAGCUGGGUUUAGAACGUCGUGAGACAGUUCGGUCCCUAUCUGCCGUGGGCGCUGGAGAACUGAGGGGGGCUGCUCCUAGUACGAGAGGACCGGAGUGGACGCAUCACUGGUGUUCGGGUUGUCAUGCCAAUGGCACUGCCCGGUAGCUAAAUGCGGAAGAGAUAAGUGCUGAAAGCAUCUAAGCACGAAACUUGCCCCGAGAUGAGUUCUCCCUGACUCCUUGAGAGUCCUGAAGGAACGUUGAAGACGACGACGUUGAUAGGCCGGGUGUGUAAGCGCAGCGAUGCGUUGAGCUAACCGGUACUAAUGAACCGUGAGGCUUAACCUU